CAGUCGCCGCGGUAAUACGGAGGGUGCAAGCGUUAAUCGGAAUUACUGGGCGUAAAGCGUGCGUAGGCGGUUCGCUAAGUCUGUUGUGAAAGCCCCGGGCUCAACCUGGGAAUGGCAAUGGAUACUGGCGAGCUAGAGUGUGUCAGAGGAUGGUGGAAUUCCCGGUGUAGCGGUGAAAUGCGUAGAGAUCGGGAGGAACAUCAGUGGCGAAGGCGGCCAUCUGGGACAACACUGACGCUGAGGCACGAAAGCGUGGGGAGCAAACAGGAUUAGAUACCCCUGUAGUCCCUGUCUCUUAUAC
rnacentral:rRNA from 1 species